AUCUCACGAAUGAGGGAGGAGUAGACAUGUCUUCUGUAAGAAAGGAAGUCCAUCUGGCCAUGCAAUGGGCUCAUCCUGUGUCUGGUAUGUCAUGGUAACGGCUGCCCUGAGCCACACUGUCUGUGGGAUGGAUAAGUUCUCUAUCACUCUGCACAGGCAUGCUGGUGGCAGAGGCCUUUGAACACACUCCAGGCAUCCAAACGGCCAGUCUGGGCACAUACCUGAAGACCAACCUCUUUCUCUUCCUGUUUGCACUUGGCUUUUACCUGCUUCUUAGAGUGCUCAACAUUGACCUGCUGUGGUCCGUGCCCAUAGCCAAAAAGUGGUGUGCCAACCCCGACUGGAUCCACAUUGACACCACGCCUUUUGCUGGACUCGUGAGAAACCUUGGGGUCCUCUUUGGCUUGGGCUUUGCAAUCAACUCAGAGAUGUUCCUCCUGAGCUGCCGAGGGGGAAAUAACUACACACUGAGCUUCCGGUUGCUCUGUGCCUUGACCUCAUUGACAAUACUGCAGCUCUACCAUUUCCUCCAGAUCCCGACUCACGAAGAGCAUUUAUUUUAUGUGCUGUCUUUUUGUAAAAGUGCAUCCAUUCCCCUAACUGUGGUUGCUUUCAUUCCCUACUGUGUUCAUAUGUUAAUGAAACAAAGCGGAAAGAAGAGUCAGUAGAGUGGUGCCUAGAGUUAGUGCUCUGUGUCACACAUCACCCUUCUCCAUCCACCAAUAGAGCCACAGAGUAGGCACAGACCAGAGGCUUCUAAUCCGACUUCACAGAAUAGCGGCACAGGCCCCAUUCCCCAUAGAGAUGUUUAGUUUGGCCUUCGCACUGGUCUUUUUUUUUUUAAUCCUUCAGUUACCAAUAUUUAAAUACAAGAAUAUUUGACAUAAAAAUCGGAAGUUCUGUAUUUUUUGAAAAAUCUGAUAGUAUGACAACACAGAGCCUGCAUCCCCAGCUGGAGACAACUGACCAGAGCUGCAUACUAACAGUCCCCAGUAGGAGGCAAGGACUCCAUUUUCUCACAGUCUUCAGCAUCCCAGCAGGAGCCCCACUAUGAUUCCUUUAUCUUCUUAAGGCCAGGCUGCAUCUGAUUCCUGUUGACAUUUUAGUGGGGACCACAGCCAUAUCCAGUCUCAGUUUUCAGAUGAGGAAAUGGAAGCCUAUUUAGGUAAAAGAACUUGCCUGGAGUCACGCCACCUUCAGAGCAGGAAUUAGAACCCAAGGCUUCUGACACAUAUCCCCAUUACACUGUGUGUUUGAGUGUGCACACAUGCACAUGCUUUUUGUUU
rnacentral:sRNA from 1 species